UACGUAGGUGGCAAGCGUUGUCCGGAUUUACUGGGCGUAAAGGAUGUGUAGGCGGAUAUUUAAGUGAGAUGUGAAAUCCCCGGGCUUAACUUGGGGGCUGCAUUUCAAACUGGAUGUCUAGAGUGCAGGAGAGGAAAGCAGAAUUCCUAGUGUAGCGGUGAAAUGCGUAGAGAUUAGGAAGAAUACCAGUGGCGAAGGCGGGUUCCUGGCCCAUUACUGACGCUGAGGUGCGAAAGCCAGGGGAGCGAACGGG
rnacentral:rRNA from 1 species